CAGGGGAAUACCAGGGCCAAGAAGUAGGAGUGAAUGGGUAGGGGAGCAGGGCAGGGGCAGGGUAUAGGUAACUUUCGGGAUAGCAUUUGAAAUGUAAAUAAAGAAAAUAUCUAAUAAAAAAAUAAAGUAAAACAAAAGAAAAGGGGAUACUGAAUUUCUUUAGUCUGUGUGCUAAUUAAAAAGCAACAACUAAUCUACAUGGUUUAAAACUAAAUAAAACAAAUAAAAUCAAGCAGAAGAAAAAUAAUUUGAGAAGAGAAAAAGGAUCCCAGUAUCUGAAUGGGAAGGCGAGAGUUGUAAAGAAGAAAGAUAGGCAAGUGGUGACAUGUUUUAGAAAAGACAUUAUGUAACCAAUCAUUUUAUACGUUGAAUGUAUAGUAAAGCAUUUUAUAAAUUGAGCAAAUAAAUUAUAGAGAAAAAAGAUCCAUGUGAAGUUCUCAAGUGUUGAUGUUCAUCUAUUAGCACAUAGGUACAACAACAGUGUAUGUGUUGGUCUGAAUACAAAGGUUGUAAAGUUCUAAUUAAAACAGCAGAGCCGGGCAGUGGUGGCGCACGCCUUUGAUCCCAGCACUUGGGAGGCAGAGGCAGGCAGAUUUCUGAGUUCAAGGCC
rnacentral:lncRNA from 1 species